rnacentral:rRNA from 1 species
UACGUAGGUGGCAAGCGUUGUCCGGAAUUAUUGGGCGUAAAGCGCGCGCAGGCGGUCCCUUAAGUCUGAUGUGAAAGCCCACGGCUCAACCGUGGAGGGUCAUUGGAAACUGGGGGACUUGAGUACAGAAGAGGAAAGCGGAAUUCCACGUGUAGCGGUGAAAUGCGUAGAGAUGUGGAGGAACACCAGUGGCGAAGGCGGCUUUCUGGUCUGUAACUGACGCUGAGGCGCGAAAGCGUGGGGAGCAAGCAGG